GCCAGGCACGGUGGCCUGUGCCUGUAGUCCCAGCUACUCGGGAGGCUGAGGUGGGAGUAUCGCUUGAGCCCAGGAGUUCUGGGCUGUAGCGUGCUAUGCUGAUCAGAUGUCUGCACUAAGUUCAGCAUCAAUAUGGUGACCUCCCGGGAGUGGGGGACCACCAGGUUGCCUAAGAAGGGGUGAACCGGCCCAGGUCAGAAAUGGAGCAGGUCAAAACUCCCGUGCUGAUCAGUAGUGGGAUGGCACCUGUGAAUAGCCACUGCACUCCAGCCUGGGCAACAUAGCGAGACGCCCAUCUCUU
ensembl:misc_RNA Metazoa_SRP Metazoan signal recognition particle RNA